rnacentral:rRNA from 1 species
GACGAACGCUGGCGGCGUGCUUAACACAUGCAAGUCGAACGGAAAGGCCCUGCUUUUGUGGGGUGCUCGAGCGGCGAACGGGUGAGUAACACGUGAGUAACCUGCCCUUGACUUUGGGAUAACUUCAGGAAACUGGGGCUAAUACCGGAUAGGAGCUCCUGCUGCAUGGUGGGGGUUGGAAAGUUUCGGCGGUUGGGGAUGGACUCGCGGCUUAUCAGCUUGUUGGUGGGGUAGUGGCUUACCAAGGCUUUGACGGGUAGCCGGCCUGAGAGGGUGACCGGCCACAUUGGGACUGAGAUACGGCCCAGACUCCUACGGGAGGCAGCAGUGGGGAAUAUUGCACAAUGGGCGGAAGCCUGAUGCAGCAACGCCGCGUGCGGGAUAACGGCCUUCGGGUUGUAAACCGCUUUCGCCUGUGACGAAGCGUGAGUGACGGUAAUGGGUAAAGAAGCACCGGCUAACUACGUGCCAGCAGCCGCGGUGAUACGUAGGGUGCGAGCGUUGUCCGGAUUUAUUGGGCGUAAAGGGCUCGUAGGUGGUUGAUCGCGUCGGAAGUGUAAUCUUGGGGCUUAACCCUGAGCGUGCUUUCGAUACGGGUUGACUUGAGGAAGGUAGGGGAGAAUGGAAUUCCUGGUGGAGCGGUGGAAUGCGCAGAUAUCAGGAGGAACACCAGUGGCGAAGGCGGUUCUCUGGGCCUUUCCUGACGCUGAGGAGCGAAAGCGUGGGGAGCGAACAGGCUUAGAUACCCUGGUAGUCCACGCUGUAAACGGUGGGUACUAGGUGUGGGGUCCAUUCCACGGGUUCCGUGCCGUAGCUAACGCUUUAAGUACCCCGCCUGGGGAGUACGGCCGCAAGGCUAAAACUCAAAGGAAUUGACGGGGCCCCGCACAAGCGGCGGAGCAUGCGGAUUAAUUCGAUGCAACGCGUAGAACCUUACCUGGGUUUGACAUGGAUCGGGAGUGCUCAGAGAUGGGUGUGCCUCUUUUGGGGUCGGUUCACAGGUGGUGCAUGGCUGUCGUCAGCUCGUGUCGUGAGAUGUUGGGUUAAGUCCCGCAACGAGCGCAACCCUUGUUCACUGUUGCCAGCACGUUAUGGUGGGGACUCAGUGGAGACCGCCGGGGUCAACUCGGAGGAAGGUGGGGAUGACGUCAAGUCAUCAUGCCCCUUAUGUCCAGGGCUUCACGCAUGCUACAAUGGCUGGUACAGAGAGUGGCGAGCCUGUGAGGGUGAGCGAAUCUCGGAAAGCCGGUCUCAGUUCGGAUUGGGGUCUGCAACUCGACCUCAUGAAGUCGGAGUCGCUAGUAAUCGCAGAUCAGCAACGCUGCGGUGAAUACGUUCCCGGGGCU